rnacentral:rRNA from 1 species
GUCCAGACUCCUACGGGAGGCAGCAGUGAGGAAUAUUGGUCAAUGGCCGAGAGGCUGAACCGGCCAAGUCGCGUGCAGGAAGACGGCUCUAUGAGUUGUAAACUGCUUUUGUACGAGGGUAAACUCGGAUACGUGUAUCCGUUUGAAAGUAUCGUACGAAUAAGGAUCGGCUAACUCCGUGCCAGCAGCCGCGGUAAUACGGAGGAUUCAAGCGUUAUCCGGAUUUAUUGGGUUUAAAGGGUGCGUAGGCGGUCGGAUAAGUUAGAGGUGAAAUCCCGAGGCUCAACUUCGGAAUUGCCUCUGAUACUGUUCGGCUAGAGAGUAGUUGCGGUAGGCGGAAUGUAUGGUGUAGCGGUGAAAUGCUUAGAGAUCAUACAGAACACCGAUUGCGAAGGCAGCUUACCAAGCUACUUCUGACGUUGAGGCGCGAAAGCGUGGGGAGCAAACAGGAUUAGAUACCCGCGUAUC